CCCUUUGCUCCAUUUUCGCGCUCUGAUAAGCUCGGUCGCAUAGCCGAUUGGACACGCGCCCUUGCUAACCCCUCUGCCCGACCCCCCACUGCUGGUGGUGGUUCAAAGGGAAACCCCUCUGACUCCGCCGUCUUCGAUUUCUCCGCCUUCGCCAUCGACGACUCUUUCCCCGUCACCGGCUCUGGUGCUAACCUCGACGAGGAUUCAACUUUCCGCCUAGUCGAUGGAAAGCCCCCGCCGCGGCCCAAGUUUGGACCUAAGUGGCGGUUCACGCAGCAUCACCACCGCCCGCAGCUCCCUCAGCGUCGCGACGAGGAGGUCGAGGCCCGUAAGCGUGAGGCCGAGAAGGAACGCGCACGCCGAGACCGGCUUUACAACCUUAAUCGCUCGAAUGUCAACCAGCCGCGGAGGGAGGCUGCCGCCUUUAAGUCCUCUGUCGAUAUUCAGCCUGAAUGGAACAUGCUCGACCAGAUCCCUUUCU
rnacentral:lncRNA from 1 species